UUGGAAAGGAUACCUGGAACUAUUU
rnacentral:piRNA from 1 species